CNUGACACUUACACACGUAGUAUUAAAUACUUUAUCAUUUCAUAUAUGGGAAUAAACUCUCUUAUUUUUACUAGAUCACAUUUUAUGAAUUUACUCUUAAUUAUUAAUAAUUGUUCAUCAAGUUUUUCAGUUAAAUUCACCGUCCUUUCACUUUGGAAAAUUAUAUCAUGUAAUACAGUGAGACCUAGGAAACUGUAUAAUUGUAAAACUAAUAUUAGAUUAGAUUUGUGAUUUUUCAAUGAAUUUUGCAGUGUAAAACUGCUACUGGGAAGAAAUUUAAACACAUAAUAAUAUUUGAUCCUAUGAAUUGUAUUUUUUGUCAAGUAGUUUAAUGUACAUGUAAUGUGGUUAUCAUGCGUGAGCCUGUUCUAAGUGUCGUAUUCUUGCGAAAUAAAUAAUAGAUUUGCAUUUCUUUUA